AACUCUUUUUACCCGACUGCGCCAGAAGGAGGGUUAUGUUUUUCGAGUGUAUGUAUGUAUGUAUGUAUGUAUGUAUAAUUGUUUGGCACGCUCUGCAGCCUAAACGGCUUGAUGGAUUUUGACUUGAGAGGUGUCGUUAGAUUCGUAUUUACUGUGAGAGUGACACUGGAUAUAUCAAAAUAAUAAAAAAACAAAA